GGAUAUAUUAGAGUGGAUAAUAAUUAAUAAUGAACAAUAGGGUGUGGUUUUAUCUGUGCAUCUCAAAGCACUUUCCAGGUUUCAUAGUAACUAUGUGAUCUCAUUCUCUUUUCACAAGGGAGGUACAGAAUGGCUGCCCUGGCCCUGAUUUGAGGGAUUUAAGUUCAUCAUCCACAAAAGUACGUGGUUUUCCUUAUUUUCUGUCAGAUGUGAGUAGCUAGUGAUUUGGUGGCCUGGCAGCUUUAGUGGCCAAGCUGUGAAUUCACGUUCAAGCAAAACAUUUCAGCGCAUGCUUAAAAUUAAGCCAAAGAGACAACCACUGAUGGACAGAAGGAUAUCAACCAGUUAGACGUCAGCCUACGUGAAAUAAGGCUAGAGCUUCUGUUCUUGCUGGUAGCUGUGCAGAAUCACAGCAUGGUUGAGUUUGGAAGAGAUCUCUGGAGGUCAUCUGGUCCAUCCCCCCCUGCUCAAGCAAUGACACCCAGAGCCGGUUGCCCAGAUGGCUGUUGAAGAUCCCCAAGGAUGGAGAAUCCAUCACCUCUUUGGGCAACUUGUGCCAAAUGCUUGGUCACCCUCACAAUAAAAAAGUGUUUCCUGAUGUUCAGAGGAACUUCCUGUGUUUCAGUGUGUGCCCAUGGCCUCUGGUCCUGGCACUGGGCACCACUGAAAAGAGCCUGGCUCCCUUAUCUUUGCACUGUCCCUUCAGGUAUUUAGGUACAUUGGUAAGAUUUCCUCCAAGCCUUCACAGAAUCAUAGAAUAGUCUGGGUUGAAAAGGACCUUAAAGAUCAUCCACCGGAGUGGAGUAGAGGGGUAGAAUCUCCUCCGUCGACCUGCUGGUCACGCUGCUGGUGAUGCAGCCCAGGACACGGUUGGUUUCUGGACUCAGGUGCACACUGAUGGUUCAUGUUGAGUUUCUCAUCAACCAAAAGCCCAAGCCCUUCUCCUCAGGGCUGCUCUCAAUCCAUUCUCUGCCCAGCCUGUGUUUGUGCUUGGGAUUGCCCCUGACCCAGGUGCAGGACCUUGCACUUGGCCUUGUUGAACUUCAUGAGGUUCGCACAGACCCACCUCUCAAGCCCUGUUUUGUUGACUUUGUGAUCCCUUUCUGUCACAUCACGCUGGGUCCUCUGCUCAUCAGCCUUGUCCAUCACUCCAUGACAGGGCUGCCGGUAACGCUCUCUCCCCUGUCAUCACUAAUUUAAACCCUCUUUACCAGGAGGAUCAUGUGUGACCAGGUACAUACCACUCCCUCCAGGAUAUACCCUCGGUGUGAAUUUCAGUGCUCUAAAAAAACCCACUUUUUUAACUUCUAUUACCACCACACUGAUAUUUUUCAUUAUUACAUCUUAAUAAAACAUCCAGACCAA
rnacentral:lncRNA from 1 species